rnacentral:rRNA from 1 species
CCGACGGUGAGAGGUGAAAGCCGGGGGAGCGAACCCGGAUUAGAUACCCGGGUAGUCCCGGCUGUAAACGAUGCGGGCUAGCUGUUGGGUGGGCUUAGAGCCCACCCAGUGGCGCAGGGAAGCCGUUAAGCCCGCCGCCUGGGGAGUACGGCCGCAAGGCUGAAACUCAAAGGAAUUGGCGGGGGAGCACCACAAGGGGUGGAGCCUGCGGUUCAAUUGGAGUCAACGCCGGGAAUCUUACCGGGGGAGACAGCAGGAUGACGGCCAGGUUAAAGGCCUUGCCCGACGCGCUGAGAGGAGGUGCAUGGCCGUCGCCAGCUCGUGUCGUGAGAUGUCCGGUUAAGUCCGGCAACGAGCGAGACCCCCACCCCCAGUUGCUACCCCGGCCUCUGGGCCGGGGGCACACUGGGGGGACUGCCGCCGUUUAAGGCGGAGGAAGGAGGGGGCCACGGCAGGUCAGCAUGCCCCGAAUCCCCCGGGCUACACGCGGGCUACAAUGGCGGGGACAGCGGGUGCCGACCCCGAAAGGGGGAGGCAAUCCCUCAAACCCCGCCGCAGUUGGGAUCGAGGGCUGCAACUCGCCCUCGUGAACGUGGAAUCCCUAGUAACCGCGCGUCAACAUCGCGCGGUGAAUACGUCCCUGCUCCUUGUACACACCGCCCGU